AAACACUGCAGUUUAUAACAUUCAUCUCAAAUCUGAGCAGAGAUGAUUCAGGCAAGUGUUGGUGUUGUAUAGCUUGACUGUAUACAUACCCCAUACCCAUGACUGUGUGCAUACCCCAUAUCUUGUGUGCACAACACAUAUCUAUGACUGUGUGCCCACCCCAUUCCCGUGAAUGUGUGCAUAUCACAUACCAUGCUGUAUGUUCAGAAACAAGGUCAUAGUGAAGCUGUACGAUGCAAUACACGGAAUAUGGUCAAAAAUACCUUUGGAGGAGCUGGAGAGAUGGCUCAGCAGUUAAGAGCACUGACUGCUCUUCCAGAGGUCCUGAGUUCAAUUCCUAGCAACCAUGUGGUGACUCACAACCAUGUGUAAUAGGAUCUGAUGCCAGCUACAGUGUACUCACAUACAUACAUGCAACAAAGAAAAUCUUUAAAAAAAAAAUACCUUUGGGUUCCUUGGAUGAUGAAUUAAUUUUUGGUCAGUGGAUAUUCAGAAACAUUUAACUGAUGCCAAACUUUCCAUGACUUCCCACAUUCAUUUAUGAGGUCCCCAUGUGGGUUCAGUACCCAAAGAUUAAGAGUCCCCUGGGGCUGGGGCCGAUGAAAUGGCUCAGCAGUGAAGAGCAGUGGCUGCUCUUCCAGAGGUUGCAGUUCCAUGCCUUGCACCCACAGGGUGGCUCACAGCCAUCUGUACCUCCAGUUCCAGGGGAUUUGAUACUUUUUUCUGUUCUCCACAAGCAAGGCAUACACACAUGUAUAUGCAUAUGUGCAGGCAAAACACCCCUAACACAUAAAAAUAAGUAAAAUGAA
rnacentral:lncRNA from 1 species